rnacentral:rRNA from 1 species
UACGUAGGGUGCAAGCGUUGUCCGGAAUUAUUGGGCGUAAAGAGCUCGUAGGCGGUCUGUUGCGUCGGCUGUGAAAACCCGGGGCUCAACUCCGGGCCUGCAGCCGAUACGGGCAGACUAGAGUUCGGCAGGGGAGACUGGAAUUCCUGGUGUAGCGGUGAAAUGCGCAGAUAUCAGGAGGAACACCGGUGGCGAAGGCGGGUCUCUGGGCCGAUACUGACGCUGAGGAGCGAAAGCGUGGGGGAGCGAACAGGA